GACGAACGCUGGCGGCGUGCUUAACACAUGCAAGUCGAACGGAAAGGCCCUGCUUUUGUGGGGUGCUCGAGUGGCGAACGGGUGAGUAACACGUGAGUAACCUGCCCUUGACUUUGGGAUAACUUCAGGAAACUGGGGCUAAUACCGGAUAGGAGCUCCUGCUGCAUGGUGGGGGUUGGAAAGUUUCGGCGGUUGGGGAUGGACUCGCGGCUUAUCAGCUUGUUGGUGGGGUAGUGGCUUACCAAGGCUUUGACGGGUAGCCGGCCUGAGAGGGUGACCGGCCACAUUGGGACUGAGAUACGGCCCAGACUCCUACGGGAGGCAGCAGUGGGGAAUAUUGCACAAUGGGCGGAAGCCUGAUGCAGCAACGCCGCGUGCGGGAUGACGGCCUUCGGGUUGUAAACCGCUUUCGCCUGUGACGAAGCGUGAGUGACGGUAAUGGGUAAAGAAGCACCGGCUAACUACGUGCCAGCAGCCGCGGUGAUACGUAGGGUGCGAGCGUUGUCCGGAUUUAUUGGGCGUAAAGGGCUCGUAGGUGGUUGAUCGCGUCGGAAGUGUAAUCUUGGGGCUUAACCCUGAGCGUGCUUUCGAUGCGGGUUGACUUGAGGAAGGUAGGGGAGAAUGGAAUUCCUGGUGGAGCGGUGGAAUGCGCAGAUAUCAGGAGGAACACCAGUGGCGAAGGCGGUUCUCUGGGCCUUUCCUGACGCUGAGGAGCGAAAGCGUGGGGAGCGAACAGGCUUAGAUACCCUGGUAGUCCACGCUGUAAACGGUGGGUACUAGGUGUGGGGUCCAUUCCACGGGUUCCGUGCCGUAGCUAACGCUUUAAGUACCCCGCCUGGGGAGUACGGCCGCAAGGCUAAAACUCAAAGGAAUUGACGGGGCCCCGCACAAGCGGCGGAGCAUGCGGAUUAAUUCGAUGCAACGCGUAGAACCUUACCUGGGUUUGACAUGGAUCGGGAGUGCUCAGAGAUGGGUGUGCCUCUUUUGGGGUCGGUUCACAGGUGGUGCAUGCCUGUCGUCAGCUCGUGUCGUGAGAUGUUGGGUUAAGUCCCGCAACGAGCGCAACCCUUGUUCACUGUUGCCAGCACGUUAUGGUGGGGACUCAGUGGAGACCGCCGGGGUCAACUCGGAGGAAGGUGGGGAUGACGUCAAGUCCUCAUGCCCCUUAUGUCCAGGGCUUCACGCAUGCUACAAUGGCUGGUACAGAGAGUGGCGAGCCUGUGAGGGUGAGCGAAUCUCGGAAAGCCGGUCUCAGUUCGGAUUGGGGUCUGCAACUCGACCUCAUGAAGUCGGAGUCGCUAGUAAUCGCAGAUCAGCAACGCUGCGGUGAAUACGUUCCCGGGGCC
rnacentral:rRNA from 1 species